CACGUCUCAGGCUUCACGUGUGUGGGGGUCAGAUCUGUUGGUUUUUAACAUGUGGUGUUCAGGUAUUAAGAAAGGGGGCGGGACUCACGGUGGAAGCUUUUGGGAGAAUCUUGAGACAGAUGAGUCCAGGAGUUACCUUUACCUUUACCUGAAAUCAUGCAGGGCUCUGUUGUGGUGCUUUUCCUACUAAACAACAUGAUGUUUAUUCUUGGAGAUCCAUCAGCAGCAGCCACAGAGCACUAUGGAGAGCAAAACUGGAACAGCAGCUCGGGCUCACCUAAUGCGGACAAACAGAUUGGAUCAAUGGAGGAGGUGAUCUCUCAACCUGAAAUCACAGUUUUAUCCAAAGCACAAAAUCAUCCCACUGAAAUUAAUCAGCAACCAGAUCCAGCAAGGAGCCUUUCCACUCUGAGCAUACAGCCUGCCCAACACAGGCAUAACAGUGUCAGCGUAGCUCUAUUAAAAACCCAAACUGGCAAAGAAACCAAACAUGCAAGGCCAGGUAAAAACCAAUUAAAGACUUCAAGUAAGAAAAGGAAUCAAGGAAGAGAAAACCAAGAUCUUAGUUGUUCAUUAAACAAGCAGCUUUGUGAGGCAGUCAAUAACACAUUGGGCACAAUGAAAAUACUGGAGGAUAUCAUAACCGAGCAUCCUCCAGUCAGUGUCCUACAUCCUACUCAGAGGUCAGGAAAAACUCAUCAGUCAUCCAGGACAGCCUUCCUGAGGGAUUCCUCAAAAAUGAGUGUGACUGACUCAGGCAGUUUUCAGAUAAAUGUUUCCAGCAUUCAGUCUGCAAACAAUGCAGAACCCCAUGUCAGCAAAACCAGUACAGAAACAACUUUUUUAACUGAACCACAGAUCAAAGCAUCAGGGGUCUUUUUAGAUUCACCAUCAGAAUCCCAGUAUGAGGAUCACCCAUCAGAAGAGGUAGAAAUUCAAGGUGAGAACCUGAGGUUGUCAUCGACACCAAAGGUUUCAGUCGUAGGCAAUCGCUCCUUUGAAGCUAAUGAGAUGGCAGAAGGUGAUGUGUCACCACAAAGAUCAGAAACUGGUAGGGUGGCACUAAACCUGACUGUUUCAGUGUCCACAGCAUCUGCUGGAACAGCUGCAAGUCCCCUUGAAAUGAGGAGUACAACCAUCAUAAUACCAGCUAAUGACACAAAGGUUUUUAAUGUAAGGGGUGACACUAUCACACCCAAGGCAAAGGUCAAAGUCUUUCCAGAUGCAAAAGAAGGAAGUGGGACAGAGAUGGAUAAAGGUGGGGUAGAGGCAGAGGGUGAAGUUGAGAUACACUCUAAGACAGAAGUGCAUGAAGAGGAUACACAUACCUCACUCGAUUUUGUACCUCAGGUGAACACUUUAGAUUCUAUCAACUACUCAGAGACGGACCAUGAGAUGGGACAAGUGUCUGGGGUCAAAGGUCCAAGGGGAUUGCCUGGUUUGCCAGGACCACCAGGUCCACCAGGACUACCAGGAUUUAAAGGAGACAAAGGCUAUCAGGGCAUUAUGGGAAGAACUGGAGAGACUGGAUAUAGAGGACCCAUUGGUCCAUUUGGCAUGCCUGCCAUUGUUGUGUUGAAAACCUCAGAAGAAGAAUGGGAAGCAUUCAAGGUAAUCACUGCUGUAUCUUUUUUUGUAAUCCUUCAUUUGAGUUUGUGAGUGUUUGUGGGAUCAAACAGCCUUUCUCAUAGUGUGUUCCUGAGAAGAAA
ensembl:lncRNA